GAUGAACGCUGGCGGCGUGCCUAAUACAUGCAAGUCGAGCGAACAGACGAGGAGCUUGCUCCUCUGACGUUAGCGGCGGACGGGUGAGUAACACGUGGAUAACCUACCUAUAAGACUGGGAUAACUUCGGGAAACCGGAGCUAAUACCGGAUAAUAUAUUGAACCGCAUGGUUCAAUAGUGAAAGACGGUUUUGCUGUCACUUAUAGAUGGAUCCGCGCCGCAUUAGCUAGUUGGUAAGGUAAUGGCUUACCAAGGCAACGAUGCGUAGCCGACCUGAGAGGGUGAUCGGCCACACUGGAACUGAGACACGGUCCAGACUCCUACGGGAGGCAGCAGUAGGGAAUCUUCCGCAAUGGGCGAAAGCCUGACGGAGCAACGCCGCGUGAGUGAUGAAGGUCUUCGGAUCGUGAAACUCUGUUAUUAGGGAAGAACAAAUGUGUAAGUAACUAUGCACGUCUUGACGGUACCUAAUCAGAAAGCCACGGCUAACUACGUG
rnacentral:rRNA from 1 species